AUACGUAGGGUGCGAGCGUUGUCCGGAAUUACUGGGCGUAAAGAGCUCGUAGGUGGUUUGUCGCGUCGUCUGUGACAUUCCGGGGCUUAACUCCGGGCGUGCAGGCGAUACGGGCAUAACUUGAGUACUGUAGGGGAGACUGGCAUUCCUGGUGUAGCGGUGAAAUGCGCAGAUAUCAGGAGGAACCCCGGUGGCGAAGGCGGGUCUCUGGGCAGUAACUGACGCUGAGGAGCGAAAGCAUGGGUAGCGAACAGGAUUAGAUACCCUGGUAGUCCAUGCCGUAAACGGUGGGCGCUAGGUGUAGGGGUCUUCCACGACUUCUGUGCCGUAGCUAACGCAUUAAGCGCCCCGCCUGGGGAGUACGGCCGCAAGGCUAAAACUCAAAGGAAUUGACGGGG
rnacentral:rRNA from 1 species